ensembl:rRNA 5S_rRNA 5S ribosomal RNA
GUCUACAGCCAUACCACCCUGAAUGCACCCGAUCUCAUCUGGUCUCAGAAGCUAAGCAGGGUUGGCCCUGGUUAGUACUUGUACGGGAGACAAAUCUUCAAAAGAGACUGCUCAGAGACAAACAGUUUGGAGACA